GGAGUUUGGACCGUGUCUCAGUUCCAAUGUGGCCGAUCACCCUCUCAGGUCGGCUACUGAUCGUCGACUUGGUAGGCCGUUACCCCACCAACUAUCUAAUCAGAUGCGGGCUCCUCCUAUGCCGAUAUAUCUUUUCUCUAUAAACCAUGCGAUUCUAAGAGUUUAUGAGGCAUUAGCAUAAAUUUCUCUAUGUUAUUCCUCUGCAUAGGGCAGAUUGCCCACACGUUACUCACCCGUCCGCCGCUAAGUAACAAAAAGCAAGCUUUUUGUCCUUCGCUCGACUUGCAUGUGUUAAGCACGCCGCCAGCGUUCAUCCUGAUCCAUGAUCAAACUCU
rnacentral:rRNA from 1 species